rnacentral:rRNA from 1 species
GAUGAACGCUGGCGGCGUGCCUAAUACAUGCAAGUCGAGCGAACAGACGAGGAGCUUGCUCCUCUGACGUUAGCGGCGGACGGGUGAGUAACACGUGGAUAACCUACCUAUAAGACUGGGAUAACUUCGGGAAACCGGAGCUAAUACCGGAUAACAUGUUGAACCGCAUGGUUCAACAGUGAAAGACGGUCUUGCUGUCACUUAUAGAUGGAUCCGCGCCGCAUUAGCUAGUUGGUAAGGUAACGGCUUACCAAGGCAACGAUGCGUAGCCGACCUGAGAGGGUGAUAGGCCACCUUGGAAGUGAGACACGGUCCAGACUCCUACGGGAGGCAGCAGAAUGGAACCUGACGCAAUGGGCGAAAGCAUGACGGAGCAACGCCGCGUGAGUGAAGAAGGUCUUCGGAGCGUAAAACCCUGUUAUGAGGGAAGAACAAAUGUGUAAGUAACUAUGCACGUCUUGACGGUACCUAAUAAGAAAGCCACGGCUAACUACGUG